CCUACGGGGGGCAGCAGUGAGGAAUAUUGGUCAAUGGGCGAGAGCCUGAACCAGCCAAGUCGCGUGAAGGAUGACGGCCCUACGGGUUGUAAACUUCUUUUGUCAGGGAGCAAUUGGGUCCACGCGUGGGCUUAGCGAGAGUACCUGAAGAAAAAGCAUCGGCUAACUCCGUGCCAGCAGCCGCGGUAAUACGGAGGAUGCGAGCGUUAUCCGGAUUUAUUGGGUUUAAGGGGUGCGUAGGCGGCCUUUUAAGUCAGCGGGGAAAGUCUGUGGCUCAACCAUAGAAUUGCCGUUGAAACUGGGAGGCUUGAGUAUGUUUGAGGCAGGCGGAAUGCGUGGUGUAGCGGUGAAAUGCUUAGAUAUCGCGAAGAACCCCGAUUGCGAAGGCAGCUUACUAAACUGUGACUGACAUUGAUGCUCGAAAGUGUGGGUAUCAAACAGGAUUAGAUACCCCGGUAGUC
rnacentral:rRNA from 1 species